rnacentral:rRNA from 15 species
GUCGAACGAAAUCUUCGGAUUUAGUGGCGGACGGGUGAGUAACGCGUGAGAAUCUGGCUUCAGGUCUGGGACAACCACUGGAAACGGUGGCUAAUACCGGAUGUGCCCUUCGGGGUGAAAGAUUAAUUGCCUGAAGAUGAGCUCGCGUCUGAUUAGCUAGUUGGAAGUGUAAUGGACUCCCAAGGCGACGAUCAGUAGCUGGUCUGAGAGGACGAUCAGCCACACUGGGACUGAGACACGGCCCAGACUCCUACGGGAGGCAGCAGUGGGGAAUUUUCCGCAAUGGGCGAAAGCCUGACGGAGCAAUACCGCGUGAGGGAGGAAGGCUCUUGGGUCGUAAACCUCUUUUCUCAGGGAAGAACACAAUGACGGUACCUGAGGAAUAAGCAUCGGCUAACUCCGUGCCAGCAGCCGCGGUAAUACGGAGGAUGCAAGCGUUAUCCGGAAUGAUUGGGCGUAAAGCGUCCGCAGGUGGCAAUGUAAGUCUGCUGUUAAAGAGUCUAGCUCAACUAGAUAAAAGCAGUGGAAACUACAUAGCUAGAGUACGUUCGGGGCAGAGGGAAUUCCUGGUGUAGCGGUGAAAUGCGUAGAGAUCAGGAAGAACACCAGUGGCGAAGGCGCUCUGCUAGGCCGUAACUGACACUGAGGGACGAAAGCUAGGGGAGCGAAUGGGAUUAGAUACCCCAGUAGUCCUAGCCGUAAACGAUGGAUACUAGGCGUG